GUGCUGCUUCCGCCGCAGGCCCCAGUUCAGCCGGCACCACUGGUGCGCACUGUACAGCUGUAUCAGCUGCUCGUAGGACAUGUCCAGCAGCUAGCUGCUCGAGGUCCACGCCGCAGCAGGUGAUACAUCCUCUUCGCAGACAGCAGAAAAACAUCAGAUUUGUGAUUUAAUUGGGAGUUUUCUGGGAUCGAACAGUGGCUUCGUUUACAGACGUGACAGCUUGAGCCAGAGGGUGCCAGCCAGUGCCAUGAUGUGACCAAGGCCAUCAACAGCAGAGCCGCAAGGGAGCAGGAGCCUUGGUCCCUGAGGACAUGCUGGAGCUAACUUGGGAAUCCUGAGGUGGCCACCUCCAAAAUGUUACAUGAAAGAGAAAAGUAAACAUCUAACUUGC
rnacentral:lncRNA from 10 species